rnacentral:rRNA from 1 species
GACGAACGCUGGCGGCGUGCUUAACACAUGCAAGUCGAACGGAAAGGCCCUGCUUUUGUGGGGUGCUCGAGUGGCGAACGGGUGAGUAACACGUGAGUAACCUGCCCUUGACUUUGGGAUAACUUCAGGAAACUGGGGCUAAUACCGGAUAGGAGCUCCUGCUGCAUGGUGGGGGUUGGAAAGUUUCGGCGGUUGGGGAGGGACUCGCGGCUUAUCAGCUUGUUGGUGGGGUAGGGGCUUACCAAGGCUUUGACGGGUAGCCGGCCUGAGAGGGUGGCCGGCCACAUUGGGACUGAGAUACGGCCCAGACUCCUACGGGGGGCAGCAGUGGGGAAUAUUGCACAAUGGGCGGAAGCCUGAUGCAGCAACGCCGCGUGCGGGAUGACGGCCUUCGGGUUGUAAACCGCUUUCGCCUGUGACGAAGCGUGAGUGACGGUAAUGGGUAAAGAAGCACCGGCUAACUACGUG